GGGGAAAGCUGGGGUGCUCGGGCUUUAUACCGAAGCGGGCGGCAAGUCGCGGGGAGCACGGAGCUGACGGGGCGGCGACGAUGGCACGCGCGGGAUCAGCAGCGUGACGCGCGGCCGGUUUCUUUGCGGAGACGACAACCCUGACAGGUGGGGUCCACCUUUCAGAGGGUCGGUGUGGGGCGUGUGCGGGUGUGUCGGCUCGGUCGGUCGUGCGGGGCCGGUCGGCCCAAAAUGGCCGGGCCGGGCCGGUUUUCUCUUUUUUUUGUUCUUUUCUUUUUCUUUUUCUGAUUUCUUUGAUAUAUUUUGAUUUUGAACUCCAAAUUGAUCCACAUAAAUUUCAGAAAAUUUGUAAACUCAUAUUAUAAUACGAUUCAACUUUUGGGACAAAAUUCCCUUCAAAAUAAAAUAGUUAAAAUUAAUUUUGCCCUGUAAAUGCCUUUAGGGCUUUAUAACUAUUUGAAAUAAAUAGUUUUUCAACUCCAAAUUAAAUACUAAAAAUUAUGGGAUAGCUUAUUUAUGCAAUAAACCCCUUUUACAAAUAAACCCUAUGGUUUUUAAAGUCAAAACUCAAAUGGGUGAAAUCCUAGGGUUUUAAAAUGAAAUAAAACCUUUUCAAAGCCUUUUGAAAUUCAAAUUUUGAUUCAAACAUGCAAAUGUGGCAUGAUGCUCAUGAAUGCAAUGCAUAUGGAAGAGUUUGAAAUUUUGGGAUGUUACAAGUCAAGGGGAGGGUUUCGUUUUAUUUGACUGAGGGGGAGUUUGCUCUUUAUCUGGUCCUUCAUCGUUUAAACUUUAAGUCCUAUCCGUUCGUGGUUUAAAACUUUUGGUUGUGUUGAAGUACACUUAAUAUUGCCUCUUGCAUCAAGAUUCUGCAAUGCCGGUAAUAAAUUUAAUCUUCAUGCAUUUUCCUUCCUCAUGCAUGCAUGUUUACUUCAAUACUUGUUGGUGCUGCAUCUGUUUACUUCAAUUUAUGACCAUGUAUGAAUUCUUAUUAUUUCUGCUCUAUCCUUGUACACGAUGCACACCCAUGCUUCUGAAGAAUAUGAUAAUUUCCUCACACUCCUAAAGCUCUUUGCACUUGCAUUCAAAAAAAAUCUUAAAUAGUGCAUAUCUUCAAGGGGGUCUUCAUAUAACUCAGAAGCUAAAACCUUCACACUUAUUUUUUCCCAUCUUUUAAGCUUUAACCAGUGUUGUCACCAAACACAAAAAAGGGGGAGAUUGAAAGGGAAACCUUGCCC
rnacentral:lncRNA from 1 species